rnacentral:rRNA from 1 species
UACGGGGGGGGCAAGCGUUGUUCGGAAUUACUGGGCGUAAAGGGCUCGUAGGUGGCCAACUAAGUCAGACGUGAAAUCCCUCGGCUUAACCGGGGAACUGCGUCUGAUACUGGAUGGCUUGAGAUUGGGAGAGGGAUGCGGAAUUCCAGGUGUAGCGGUGAAAUGCGUAGAUAUCAGGAGGAACACCGGUGGCGAAGGCGGCUUUCUGGACGAUAACUGACGCUGAGACGCGAAAGCGUGGGGAGCAAACAGG